ensembl:lncRNA
UUUAAUCAAAUUAGAUUUUAUGCAAAAUAUUCUGGAUUGGUUUAUAAAGGAUACAAAAUAGGUUAAAAUCAGUGAAUACACUGAAAUGUCUUCUACAAAGGAAAACAAAACAAAAGACAAAUCUAUUUGGGAUAAGAACAACACAGUGACAAUAUAUCUACUAAAAUGAACCUGACAUAGAUUUCUGGACAUUUAACUACCAAACUGAAUGCAACUGAAAUGUGAAACCACAAACAUUCUUAAAAAUAAAAUCUACAUGUGAAAUGACAUUUAAUCCUGAAAGUGAUUUAAUAAUUACAUUUUUUAGAAAUAUAGUAUAAAAGAGAUUAUUUGUGCAUAUAGUUUCACAGAGUUUGCUAACAUUGCAUUUACAGCAGUAAUUCCUUCUUGAAAAUCAAGACCAUGCAACACUGAAAAAUGGACAGUGCAAAAAUCUCAAAACACUUCACUAAAAGUGUGAUCUAAACCAUCAUUCAUGGCCUUUUCUUUUUUUUUACCACCGGAGUGUUCUUGGUAAAGUAAACCUCACUGCUACGAAACAAUAAUAGGUACUACUGUAGUUAGGUGAGGCCAGUUGGAAAAUGCAUGGAAGGCACAAAGCAUGCGGGAAAAAACCCACACGGUACGGAUAAACUGCAGAUUGCUUCUCUGCAUCGGCCGUUUAUUCAGUCGAUUCAUUUUCUCCAGGAGUCAUCGGCAAUGCUGAUCAAUAUCUCUUGAUGUGGUUUAUAUGGCCCUGUUCACCUGCCAUACACCUGGGGCAAUACUGUCCUGCUCCGCGUCCUGGGGUGGGUAACACCUGCUGACAAACCCAAACACAUCAAAGAUAAAAAUACAAUGAAAUAAAUCAAAUAAUCACCAUUAUAUGUCUCAAUUUCCGUUUCAAAAUUAAAUGGGUUUAUGAUUAAAACAAGAACGAAUAUUUGCAAGUGGGCUCAGAAAAAUCACUUUAAUUCAAAAAGAGAAACAAGUUUUCAUUCCACAGUGACAGAUGCUUGCUCUUGUUUUAAGCAUAACUCACUUUAUUUGGUUCAAAUUUUGAUUUCAGUUUGUUUAGAUAACAGAAAGAUUUUCUGCUCCUUUUAAAGGCCAUCAUUUGUGAAUUUUAAGACCUUUUAAGACUCACAGAAUCUCUGAAAGUUACACUUAAUAGGAGACUUUAGGAGUUUAAAAAGUUUCUUCAGCACCAGUAUUUUGGGUUCCACCCAAGAAAAUUAUAUACAC